GAAUUUUGGACAAUGGACGCAAGUCUGAUCCAGCCAUUCCGCGUGCAGGAUGAAGGCCCUCGGGUUGUAAACUGCUUUUGUACGGAACGAAAAGCGCCUAGUUAAUACCUGGGCGUCAUGACGGUACCGUAAGAAUAAGCACCGGCUAACUACGUGCCAGCAGCCGCGGUAAUACGUAGGGUGCAAGCGUUAAUCGGAAUUACUGGGCGUAAAGCGUGCGCAGGCGGUUAUGUAAGACAGGUGUGAAAUCCCCGGGCUUAACCUGGGAACUGCAUUUGUGACUGCAUAGCUAGAGUACGGUAGAGGGGGAUGGAAUUCCGCGUGUAGCAGUGAAAUGCGUAGAUAUGCGGAGGAACACCGAUGGCGAAGGCAAUCCCCUGGACCUGUACUGACGCUCAUGCACGAAAGCGUGGGGAGCAAACAG
rnacentral:rRNA from 1 species